CCUACGGGAGGCAGCAGUGGGGAAUAUUGGACAAUGGGGGGAACCCUGAUCCAGCCAUGCCGCGUGUGUGAAGAAGGCCCUCGGGUUGUAAAGCACUUUCAGUGAGGAAGAACGCCUGGUGGUUAAUACCCAUCAGGAAAGACAUCACUCACAGAAGAAGCACCGGCUAACUCCGUGCCAGCAGCCGCGGUAAUACGGAGGGUGCGAGCGUUAAUCGGAAUUACUGGGCGUAAAGCGCGCGUAGGUGGCUUGAUAAGCCGGUUGUGAAAGCCCCGGGCUCAACCCGGGAACGGCAUCCGGAACUGUCAAGCUAGAGUGCAGGAGAGGAAGGUAGAAUUCCCGGUGUAGCGGUGAAAUGCGUAGAGAUCGGGAGGAAUACCAGUGGCGAAGGCGGCCUUCUGGACUGACACUGACACUGAGGUGCGAAAGCGUGGGUAGCAAACAGGAUUAGAUACCCCAGUAGUC
rnacentral:rRNA from 1 species